GUUUCACACAUUUUUCCAGUGAAACUAAAAUUACUUGAUGAUUAAACCUCCAACCUUCAUAAUACUAAGAAGAGAAGAGAGGCUUCAUUUAAUUUAACAACAAUCUAUGAAAUCCCUCAGGAUCUUGUUCUCAUUUAUUUUAGAGAACAGGGUUUGAGAGGAAGGAGACAUAAACAGAAAUACAAAGGGAGGGCAGAAAUCUGUUCCCAUUUCUACGAAAUGCUGCUUUUUCUUUGCCUAGUCCCAGAAUGGCGAGGCCUGGUUUUUGUUAUUCCAGUCUAUGCUUUCUGAAUAAGAAAAGCUGUUGACUUAAACGACAAACACCUACCUUUCUUUCCUCCAGUUGCUUCCUGG
rnacentral:lncRNA from 1 species